AUGAAGGCAGCACAGGGAAACAAUUCUCCGAAAGCUGGAGUGAAAGAGGAAAAGAGGGAUGGCCGGGGAGGAGAGUGUGAGCCCCCGAAGGCGGAUGCCCUCGCCCGCUUGGCUGCUGCGGUGCUGCUGAACGGGAGCGAGGAGGGCAGCGUCCUUGCCCGUCUGCAGUGUGGGGACAGCGGUCUCACCUGCGUCCCGAUGAGGCCAUCAGACCACGUUCCAUCAGCGUGUCAGCCCCACACGCUGUGCGCCCCAAUCCCACAGCGUCUCCUCGCGGGGCACCUGCACCGCCUGGGGCCCUGCCAUUUCCCUUGCAAAUUCCCCAAGGGAGCAGCACCCCACGGAGGUGAGAACCCCCUCAUCAUGUCCCCAGUCGGGGAUAGGGGUCCCUUUCCCUCCCUGCUCUGCCCCUGAACCCCACUUCCCCGUAAUAAGCCCGGGGUAGGGGGAAACCCCACACAACACAAAAAUACACAGCAGCUCAGCUGCGGGGAGGUAUUCUUGGGACUGUUUCGAGAACUAGUCACCUGCGUCGGUGGGAACUUCAUCCCUUCUCUGAACGGGUGAGCUUUCCAGACAUCAGCUUGGAAGCUGAGUCCGUGAUUCUCUUCCAUCUCAAAUCCCUCUUUCUUCUUGUCGACCGGCUCUCCCUUCGUGUAGCAUUGAACGAUGCCAAUUCAAUCCAGGGCCUGAGGUUGGCACCAGGCACCUGAGGAUCGCGGAGCAUCUCUUAAAAUGUGCCUUAGACACCUGUCUUGCCUGCCCCCCACCAACAGCCCUGUGACUGAGACAUGUUCCCACCCCGGGGACCCUCUGAGGUCUCCAAGGUUGCAGCAGCAGCCAUUUAUGUAUUGAACACAUUUGUUGAGCACCUACUAAGUGACCGCUGUUGCGUUCCAAGAAUCCAAGUUGGCAAAACUGUCAUGGUCCCUGGCCUGUGAAGCCCACAGUCUAAGGGGGGAGGACAGAGACUAACCUAGAUUAACACAAAGAAGACGUGUAAAGUACAGAUGCUGUCAAGGAGGGGCUCAGGGUGUCAUGAAGCAGAUAAUGGGAGAUUUCUCCAGAGGGAGGGGACCAUCCAGCUGUGAUCUGGAGAGUGAAUAAUUAUCAGAUGAGCUUGAGGCCGAGGAAGAGUGUUCAGACCAGGCAAGAGCACGUGCAAAGGCCCGGUGGCUGGAGGGAUCUUGGUGACCCACAAGGAACUCCAAGGCUGUGGGCUUGGAGGGCAAGGAGAGAACGGGAGCCUGGAGAGGGGAGGGGAGGCGAGACCGUGUGAGGGUCUCUCAGGAUCCGUGUCUUUUUUUUUUAGUUUCAAUUUUUUUUUUAACGUUUAUUUAUUUUUGAGACGGAGAGAGACAGAGCAUGAACGGGGGAGGGUCAGAGAGAGAGAGGGAGACACAGAAUCUGCAAC
rnacentral:lncRNA from 1 species